GACGAACGCUGGCGGCGUGCCUAAUACAUGCAAGUCGAACGCAGGGGGGACGGGUGAGUAACACGUGGGUAACCUCCCAUCAGAGGGGAAAACACUUGGAAACAGGUGCUAAACCGAUACUGAUGGAUGAACCCGCGGUGCAUUAGCUAGUUGGGGAGGUAACGGCUCACCAGGGCCACGAUGCAUAGCCGCACUGCGAGGGUGAUCGGCCACACGGGGACUGAGACACGGCCCAGACUCCUACGGGAGGCAGCAGUGGGGAAUCUUCGGCAAUGGGCGAAAGCCUGACCGAGCAAUGCCGCGUGAGUGAAGAAGGUUUUCGGAUCGUAAAACUCUUUUGGUAGAGAAGCGGUAUCUAACCAGAAAGCCACGGCUAACUACGUGCCAGCAGCCGCGGUAAUUC
rnacentral:rRNA from 1 species